rnacentral:rRNA from 1 species
GGAUGCGAUCAUACCAGCACUAAAGCGCCGGAUCCCAUCAGAACUCUGAAGUUAAGCGUGCUUGGGCGAGAGUAGUACUAGGAUGGGUGACCUCCUGGGAAGUCCUCGUGUUCCAUUCC